CCCGGAAGCUGAUACUUCGCCAUUUUUUUUUUUUUUUUUUUUUUUUUUUUGUCUCUUAACAGGCGGGCUGAGGAAGUUGCCUCUCUCUGGCGCCUGCAUUCAAUGAACGUUUGUAAUGUUAGCAGGUGUGGACCUUGAGGAGAUUUUCUCUCCCUGGCUGCCCAAUUAUCAUUUUUAGAGAGGCAAUGCGAUAAUUGCUGAACGAUGUCACCUGACAUUCCUAGCGGGUGGGAGAGAGCCCUCUCCUGCCCCGCUCAUUGCCUAACUACCUGUAACAGGUGUGUGGGUGAGUGCUCCCUGUGAUGGAACGGUGUCCUGUUCAGGACUGGGUGCCACCUGGCACCUUGAGCUGCCAGGACCGGCUCGGGCUGCUCGCGAUCCCAAACUAGAACAAAUGGAAAUGUUCAGUUGUCUAGCUCACAGGGAUAUCCACAAGCCAGACCCAGAAAGCCUUUGCUACCAUUGAUGAAGAUGCCAAGUCCACAGCCCAACAGCCAGAAGACCCUUGGUCUAAUUUUCUUAUCAUUGGCCUUCAACAUUUUUAUCAGGAUAUAUCUGUGUAAAAUUUGAGAGAUUGCUGCCUGCCAGAAUUCC
rnacentral:lncRNA from 1 species